CCUACGGGCGGCAGCAGUGGGGGAUAUUGGACAAUGGGGGAAACCCUGAUCCAGCGACGCCGCGUGAGUGAAGAAGUAUUUCGGUAUGUAAAGCUCUAUCAGCAGGGAAGAAAGAAAUGACGGUACCUGAGGAAGAAGCCCCGGCUAACUACGUACCAGCAGCCGCGGUAAUACGUAGGGGGCAAGCGUUAUCCGGAAUUACUGGGUGUAAAGGGAGCGUAGACGGUAAUGCAAGUCUGGAGUGAAAGGCGGGGGCCCAACCCCCGGACUGCUCUGGAAACUGUGUAACUGGAGUGCAGGAGAGGGAGGUGGAAUUCCAAGUGUAGCGGUGAAAUGCGUAGAUAUUAGGAAGAACACCAGUGGCGAAGGCGGCCUGCUGGACUGUUACUGACGUUGAGGCUCGAAAGCGUGGGGAGCAAACAGGAUUAGAUACCCUUGUAGUC
rnacentral:rRNA from 1 species